CAGAAAUCAUUAAAAAUGAACUCUGCAAGCAAAGUUGGCGAGAUUUUCCUUGCUGCAGGGAGCUCCUACAGCAAACUUGGGGAUGCCAUUAUGUCUCUGUACAACUGUACAGAUGAACCAGAUGGCAGCAACCCUGCGAAGGAAGGAAUUGAAACUGAUGAUACUUCAAACAAUCAAACUUUUGUUUCCAAACACCCAAUCCAACUCCCAUACUCUCAACACAAGCAAGAAUAGUCGUCCAACACUCCUGACAAGAUUUGUUUAUCUUAAAAUCAAAUUUUUAUAUUUUCUAAUACAAACCCGACCUAACACACAUAGCUGCCUUAUCCCAACUUAUCAACAAUAGCAAUGAUUAAUAUGCAAAAAGAAAUUCAGAACAAUUUUAAUAGCCCACGUUUGGUGAACAACAUCUGUGAACUCACCAAUUCCAAAUUCAUUUUAAAUCAAACAAUAAAAGAAUAUUUAAAGGAAUACUUUUUAAAUUCACUUUGUAUGUGUAACUGAAACUGUAACUGUAACUGCAACUGUAACUGCAACCGUAACUAUAAUUGUAACUGUAACUUCCAAAUCUAGACUUUUUACAUAAAUUGAGAAAUAUCAAAAUUUACUAUUGAUAGAACUAUGUAGUAACUUUUCAACCAUGCAUUAUUUUCAUAAAGCAAUAGCCACUAGACAGGGCAAAAUUUAUUUUUAAAUUCUUUUUUUAUCGUGUGCACUCAAAUAUUUUGUUUACUUUUACUUUGUGUUUUUUUAAAUUUGUAAAUUUGUUAACGAAAAUUAAAGCAUAAAUAUUCGUUAUUUUUUAACUUAAAAAUGACUUAAACUUCUGCAUGUUUAGUAAGUUUUGAAUUUUUCUUGAAUCAGGCAUCAAUGCUGACUACACCAUGUAUGCACAUAUUUAUUAAAGAGACUGUACACCCAUUUCCAAUCCCUUUUAAACUAAUUGAUAAUUCCUCAACCAUAAACCAUAUUUUGGGAAAUGUUUAUAAAUUGCUUUUAUCGUGUAUUUAAAUACAACAUUUUACCUUGAA
rnacentral:lncRNA from 1 species